rnacentral:rRNA from 1 species
UACGUAGGGUGCAAGCGUUAAUCGGAAUUACUGGGCGUAAAGCGUGCGCAGGCGGUGAUGUAAGUCCGGGGUGAAAUCCCCGGGCUUAACCUGGGAACUGCAUUUGUGACUGCAUCGCUGGAGUGCGGCAGAGGGGGAUGGAAUUCCGCGUGUAGCAGUGAAAUGCGUAGAUAUGCGGAGGAACACCGAUGGCGAAGGCAAUCCCCUGGGCCUGCACUGACGCUCAUGCACGAAAGCGUGGGGAGCAAACAGG